ACAUCCAUUUCAAACAAAAACAAAGAGCUGUCGGAAGAAAGAAAUUAGAAGAUGCACAAUCCCCCACCGCCAGAGCCCCGUCACCAGCCCGGCCACCCACCGCCAGAGCCCCGUCACCAGCCACCCGGUCCACCACACCGUGAACCUCCUCCCCCUCGUGGCCAUUCUCCUCCUCCUCCAGGCCCGCAUGCACCACCAUCCGGUCCACCACACCGUGAACCUCCUCCUCCAGGUCCGCGUGCACCACCACCUGAUCAUCACCGUCCUUAGUCGAUCAUAUAUAUGAAGAACUCGAAGCUAAGCCUAGCAAUAUAUGAAUAAGCAUAUCCAUAGGGGAUGAUGAUGAUGUAACGGAAGGAUGCUCUCUGUGUAGCUAGUUUUACCUGUGGCUUAGCUGACCAGUAAUUUUAUUUUCAUUUCCAGUGUGUGUACGUGUAACGUUCUUGCUGUUUCGUUCUCGAAGAAACAUGUAUGGUGCUUGGAUAAUUAAUUAAUAAUAAGAGUAGAGUACUGUUUAUAUU
rnacentral:lncRNA from 1 species